CCCGCGCGCCCUGGUUGCAGAGGCGCCGCGAAAUGCGCGGUGCGUCGCGGACGCUCUAAAGCCGCUGGUUUCCGGGCAACCGCCGGCGGGCGGCGCUGCCUCGCCUGCUGAGGUGGACGGCUCCUCGGGCAGGCCGGGGCUCCCGCAGUGGUCGCCGCCCUCCGGUCUCACCCAGAGCUUUGGAGCAGGGCAGGCCUACUUCUGUUGUGGAUGCUUUGAGGGCAGAUGAGUGACUUCAGUUAAAAGAUACCGUGUUCUGCCACCCUGACGGCGGGGGCGGCGCCUGAAGGGACCCGCGUCAAUCACGCGCUGCGCGCCCGGCGGGCACCUAGAGGGCGCCUCUCCGUCCUCUCGUUGGCGUCCUGGGGAGAGGCCGGGGAAGCCUCAGGGGGCGAGAAAAGGCGACCUGGGACUCGGCAGGACGUGAAUGUUCCUCAGGCGACAGGAAUGCGGUUUCUUUCUCACUGCCCUGGAAAGCUCCGAGCUAAAAGCGGCGCACUUUGGAAGUGAAUGGUGAAACUGCAAAGUCAAGUUCCAGCAGGCGCUUGGUGGAAGUCUUUUCUGAUCCCAUCACAGACUAUGAAGAAAAUAUUAGAAAAACUCCUAUAUAUCCUGGGUCCUGCCUUACUUUCUUUGGAAUAGUUCCUCAGAGCUAUCUGAGAGUCUGCUUCUCUGGCUAUAGUCUUUAGUAAGGUCCUUGAAUAAAACAUAGCUCUUAAGUUGUGGGUUCUGUGUGUGUGCGUGUUUUGCAAUUGUCACUUGUAGGCCCACCCCCUUUUAUUUUCUU